rnacentral:lncRNA from 1 species
GAGACUUUUUAGCAGAGUGAGUAAGGCCUUUGCCAGAGUGCACGGGAAAGCCAGAGGGUAGUGAAAGUGCUUUAUCUAAAGCUGUCGGCAGGGCUGAGUGUGAAAAGCGGAGUUGAUGGGCUUGUCAUGGAAACAGAAACCCUUUCGGAAAUAAAAGCCACUUAACUCCCCCCCUCCCCCCCCCCCCCCCGCCCAUCACAUCUGAUUAAAAGAAAAAAGAAAGAAAGGAAGGAAGGAAGGAAGGAAGGAAGGAAGGAAGGAAGGAAGAAAGGUAAGAAGAAAAGAAAAGAAAUCCCAACAACAAAAACAUCAAGAGUCAUUAGAGGACGAUAAUUCCAGGGUGACUUGGUACGAUGGUCACUAGCUGGAAAUUCUCUGCCUUCCAAAGAAGGAAGCCAGCAUUCAUUCCCACGAUCCUGCCACCAAGCUGAGGACCUGCUGACCCAAGUUCCUUCUUUUCUUGCUAUUGGCUAACACUGUUCAUAAAACAGAGUUGGCCGUUUCACUCUUGCUUUAAAUGAACAAGCUGCAUCGUAUGGGGAGACAGCCAGGAGAGAGGGCAGAGUCGGAAGGCAGGGCAAGCGGGAGGAGGCCGGGCGCAGAAGGAAGCACACAGGAUGAAGGAGACCAUCUGUUAGAGGCCACCUGUAGCAACCUGAAGACACUUUGA